AAUAAAUGUAAUUUACAAUACAGUAAUUAUAUAAAUUUCGAAAAGAUUUUAGGUUAGCACAAAAUAAUUUUUAAAACAACAAAAUGCCUGUUCCAGACCCUUGACAUGUUAUGGCAAAGGCCCACUCUCAUAGGACAUGCUUUGUUGGAAUGCACAGCAAAGGCACUCAGGGGUUAAAGCAUUUGUGUAUCACCUUGAAAGAUAUAUGUUCAAUUGUGGGUCUUGCACUUUCAGUUUUUCAGAAUGGUUCCAAGCAUAGCCUGUCUGUGUUAUCUUAUCCUAAGUGUUAUUUUAAAGAUUUUCAUUUUGAGAUAUAAAACA
rnacentral:lncRNA from 1 species